rnacentral:lncRNA from 1 species
GUCAAUCUCUUUGUUGACGUCUUUUUCGAAAUCACAUUGUUAUAGCUGAUAAUUUUUUGUGGCAAGGUCUACUUUAGGAUCAACAUCAAUUAUGCGCGGAUAGUUGUGGAUCAAACAGGGACAAUAAUCAUUUGUUCUUGCACUAUAAUUUUUUUUCAGUUCUAUUUGGAUUUUGGUUUCAAUUUGCUAGGGUAUGUUAUGACAAAUCCAACCCUCAUCACAUAUCAAUUUGGUCAUCUUGGAGGUUCAUCAAAACAUUAUCAUUCAAUUAUGUAAAGAACGAAACAGUCAAAUUUUUAAGCAUAAGAAGUAUUAUCUGCAUCAAUUGUUUGACAAAAUUAAACCACCAAUAUUUUGAUAUGGUUGAAAGCGAAAUACAAUAUUUUCUCGGUUGAUUACCAUUCAUGGUGGCUAAUCCAAUAAUGUGCUUGGGAGCUAUAACAUAAUCUGAAAUUUGUAUUUUCUCUUCUUUAUACGUUCCAUUACCUUAACUUUGCAAUAUUUUGAUUUAGCAUUGUCUUCCUGACUCAACUUAUAUUAAGAAGUGUUUUUUUAUAAUACUACCUCCGUCCCUAAUUAUAAG